UAUAAGAUUGCUAAAUGCCCAUUUCGUGAUCUCAGCUGUCUGUGUCAUAGGAAAAACAACAUCUAAGUUCAGCUGUUUGGGCUCAACAACCGAGACUUAAAAUGACUCUGAGUGGGCUAAAACAGCUCGAAGCCCUGAAAAAGUCAGUUGUGUCACUGCGAUUAUACUUAAUUGGCAUUGUGGGAAGCCUUUCUUUCUACAAAUCAGCCCACACUGUCCCCUUGUGCAAAGAGCCUUUUCAUUAGCUCCUGUGGACGUGCAGCCAAACUGCCCAGCAAAUACCAGCAUUGUAAUGUGAUCUCAAAAGGGAGCAAAGUAGUCCAGAGCUAUUCAAGCAUUCCCGCUUCCUUUGCAGACUCCUGACAGUCCCAUGUCUGGACUUCCUGAUUUUCUUUCAGCACCCCACAAAGGGACUUUUCCUCCUAGUGCCCUUUCACCAGACAGACAGUUCUUCCCUGUCUCCCCUGUACUCCCGGAAUCCCUCCUCCAGCAGGUUGGCUCAGCAACCUUCAACUCAGCUGCCUCCCGUUGCAGGAUUAUAAAUACCAGUUGGAAAAGAGAGAGCCCUUCAAACGUAGUCCUUCCCCACCCCACAGUGAACCUCAUCAGGGCUUCCAUCUCAUGUCACAAGAAUGAUGUUGCCUUUAUGAGUAGUAGACAUGACCUGAAAGGGCGAACAGCAGUGCCAAAAAGUCACAGAACUCAUGUUACACAAGCGAGGACUUCGGAGCCAAGGGAAACUUCAUCAAAUGCUGACAUAUCAAGCAGCAGCUUGCAGGACAGAGUCCCAAAGAGCAAUUCUCAGGAGAUGGAAGUCAGCAUCUCAUCCUUCUUAGGCAAACGAAUGGAAGAGAACAGUCCACCAGAACAAUGACAGAAAAGCUGACUAUUGAAGCCUUUCCAGGACUAGGUCAAAGGGGCAGCAUGCAAUCCAGGAGCUGCUUACGGCAAAGGAAUGUGGUUCCUGCUUGAAUGUGUCUCCCAUGUAAAUUGAGCAAGGUGUGACCAAAGACAAAGGAAAGCACAUUUGCAUGCCGGGCAAACAAAGCUAUCAGGAGAGCAAGUAGGGGGAAAAAGUGAUCACUUAACAAGCUCAACGGGGGAUGGAGACUGCACCCCCAGGAAGUCAUCCUGCCUCUUGAAGCAGGGUCAGUGAACUUCAAGAGAGAUACUUUUCAAACGUUUACUGGACUAUAAAGAGAGGGGCAGAGAGCCCUUAAGUUAUCCUUCACCUGAGGAGACAGGGGAAACCAGCACCUUGAACUCUGUGGGGAUCCUGACUAAGAGCUAAUCAGCCAUUGCUGGAAAGGAAGACUGGUGAGGAAACAACCUUGAACAAAGACUUUAGUUUGUUACGUUAUGUCUUAGCCAUUAGAAAGUGUAUUUUUACUUUUCUUUGUUUGUAACCCUUUCUUCCGUCUAUUUGGCAACACACAACUAUGUCCUUUUGUUAAUAAACUUGUUUUAUUUUUA